CCUUGUAUCCGUGAAUGGCUUCUCUCUGUACCCCAAAGACAGUUUCCCAGCAAGUUGGCCAGCACAGCGCUUCGGCGAACAUAUCGGAAGAGCCCA